CAACGCUGGCGGCGCGCUUAACACAUGCAAGUCGCACGAGAAAGGGGAGCAAUCCCUGAGUACAGUGGCGUACGGGUGAGUAACACGUGGAUGAUCUACCUUCUAGUGGGGAAUAACCCUGGGAAACCGGGGCUAAUACCGCAUAAGCUCGAGAGAGGAAAGCAGCAAUGCGCUGGAAGAGGAGUCCGCGGCCGAUUAGCUAGUUGGCAGGGUAAAAGCCUACCAAGGCAGAGAUCGGUAGCCGGCCUGAGAGGGCACACGGCCACACUGGCACUGAAACACGGGCCAGACUCCUACGGGAGGCAGCAGUGGGGAAUCUUGCACAAUGGGGGAAACCCUGAUGCAGCGACGCCGCGUGAGCGAUGAAGCCCUUCGGGGUGUAAAGCUCUUUCGGCAGGGAAGAUGAUGACGGUACCUGCAGAAGCAGCUGCGGCUAACUACGUGCCAGCAGCCGCGGUAAUACGUAGGCAGCGAGCGUUGUUCGGAGUUACUGGGCGUAAAGGGUGUGUAGGCGGUUGUUUAAGUUUGGUGUGAAAUCUCCCGGCUCAACUGGGAGGGUGCGCCGAAUACUGAAUGACUUCGAGUGCGGGAGAGGAGAGUGGAAUUCCUGGUGUAGCGGUGAAAUGCGUAGAUAUCAGGAGGAACACCGGUGGUGUAGACGGCUCUCUGGACCGUAACUGACGCUGAGACACGAAAGCGUGGGUAGCAAACAGGAUUAGAUACCCUGGUAGUCCACGCCCUAAACGAUGCAUAUUUGGUGUGGGCAGUUCAUUCUGUCCGUGCCGGAGCUAACGCGUUAAAUAUGCCGCCUGGGGAGUACAGUCGCAAGG
rnacentral:rRNA from 1 species